AGAGCUUUGUCAAACCUAUUUUGUUGCAAAUUUUUGAUUUUGAGAAGAUUUUUGCAGAUCUGAUAAGAUGAAAUCAAUAAUCUAGGAAGCUUAAACAACAUCGUUUUAGAAGAAGAAAUACAAAUCUAGAAGAGGAAGAAGAAACCAGAUUAUUUCAGAAGAAGAACAACAAAACUAGGUUGUUGUUAACUUUUACAGAAGGGACUUGAAGAGUGAAGCUCUUGCAAGGUUAACUGUUGUGCACAUGCUCUCAAGGUAUUCAAGUAUGGUGUUUUAAGAAUAGGAACAUGCAGACUUCCAAGAAAUCUACCAGGGUUUAAAGAUGCAGUUGAUCUUCGUUUUUGUUAUACAACCAUUACACGUCUUUUUAGCUAACUUUUGCAUUAAUUUGUUGUUUCUUUAAGAGCACGAACGAGUAAUUACAUUUGUGAU